rnacentral:rRNA from 1 species
GAUGAACGCUAGCUACAGGCUUAACACAUGCAAGUCGAGGGGCAUCAGGAAGAAAGCUUGCUUUCUUUGCUGGCGACCGGCGCACGGGUGAGUAACACGUAUCCAACCUGCCCUUUACUCGGGGAUAGCCUUUCGAAAGAAAGAUUAAUACCCGAUGGUAUAAUUAUUCCGCAUGGUUUGAUUAUUAAAGGAUUCCGGUAAAGGAUGGGGAUGCGUUCCAUUAGGUUGUUGGUGAGGUAACGGCUCACCAAGCCUUCGAUGGAUAGGGGUUCUGAGAGGAAGGUCCCCCACAUUGGAACUGAGACACGGUCCAAACUCCUACGGGAGGCAGCAGUGAGGAAUAUUGGUCAAUGGGCGCGAGCCUGAACCAGCCAAGUAGCGUGAAGGAUGACUGCCCUAUGGGUUGUAAACUUCUUUUAUAUUAGAAUAAAGUGCAGUAUGUAUACUGUUUUGUAUGUAUAAUAUGAACAAGGAUCGGCUAACUCCGUGCCAGCAGCCGCGGUAAUACGGAGGAUCCGAGCGUUAUCCGGAUUUAUUGGGUUUAAAGGGAGCGUANGUGGACUGGUAAGUCAGUUGUGAAAGUUUGCGGCUCAACCGUAAAAUUGCAGUUGAUACCGUCAGUCUUGAG